AUGGCCGUAGACGCCGGCCGCUGCCGCUGGGCGCCUCAAGAGCCUGCUCCAGGCGUCCCAACUCAGCGGUGCCGCGCUCCAGCCGUGCACGCGCCUGACUGCCUGCCUGCCAGCCAGCCUGCCUGCUGCCUGCCUGCCUGCUGCCUGCCUGCCUGCUGCCUGCCUGCCUGCCUGCCUGCCUGCUGCCUGCCUGCCUGCCUGCCUGCCUGCUGCCUGCCUGCCUGCCAGCCUGCCUCCCUGCUUGCCUGCCUGCCUGCCUGCCUGCCUGCCUGCCUGCCUGCCUGCCUGCCUGCCUGCCUGCCUGCCUGCCUGCCUGGCUGCCGCCGCCCUCCGCCGCGGGCCCCGGGCGGGUGGCGGAAGCGGCCCAAGAGGACCCCGGCAAGGCGCUGUGGCGCAAGCCACGGCCUUCGCCGGUCCCGGGACUCUUGCAGGCUGCUCCUGGCUUGGCCCCACGCCCGCCUCCGCUUGCAUCCCGCACCGCAUCGCACCGCACCGCACCGCACCGCACCGCAACCGCACCGCACCGCCACCGCACCGCACCGCACCGCACCACGUCGGGCCGCUCACUGGGAAGAGGGUGGAAGCGAGCGUGGGGCAUCCGGCCGGCCGUGCCUUCUGGGCCCCCCACCCCUCGCCGGGCUCUCAGCGCCUCCUCCCCAGUCUCAGGGCGAGCCCGGCCAGCCCCCGCUCCCCGGCCUUUCCCUCCCGUCCGCCCACCUGAUGCAAGGCCACACCGGAGGCCCCAGCGCCCCCAGAGAACAUCACCAGCCCGGGCCCGCUGCCCUAGCUGGGCCUCGCGCAACGCCGGGGACCCUGGGGAUGAGGGCUCCAGGGAGGGAAGAGGUCCGGGACCCAGGGAGCCCAGGCCUGUGGCGGAAUCUGAGUCUGGGGUCUCGCUGCCCCGCCCGCUCCUGGGUUCUUG
rnacentral:lncRNA from 1 species